UACGGAGGGUGCAAGCGUUAUCCGGAUUCACUGGGUUUAAAGGGUGCGUAGGUGGGCAGGUAAGUCAGUGGUGAAAUCUCCGGGCUUAACCCGGAAACUGCCAUUGAUACUAUUUGUCUUGAAUACUGUGGAGGUCAGCGGAAUAUGUCAUGUAGCGGUGAAAUGCUUAGAUAUGACAUAGAACACCAAUUGCGAAGGCAGCUGGCUACACAAAUAUUGACACUGAGGCACGAAAGCGUGGGGAUCAAACAGG
rnacentral:rRNA from 1 species